rfam:Metarhizium album ARSEF 1941 scaffold_20, whole genome shotgun sequence.
ACAAAAAAAAAUUACUAUACUAUAUAUAAAGGGUCCCUCAAUUGGCCGACAAAUUUUAUAGGUAGUAGUAUAUAGCUGUUCUUAGUUAGUGGAGUGAUUUGUCUGCUUAAUUGCAAUAACAAACAAGACCUUAACCUGCUAAAUAGUGUCAGCCAAAAAAAACAACAAUCUAGGGGGGUGCAUGCGCUAUGCAAUUGCGCAGUAAUAUAUAAGGUUAAUUUGCGUCUCUAAUUGCUGGAGCGCGUUCCACUUUUGCGUGGUGCAGUUGACCUUGCGAUUUUCCGCUAAUAAAUAGCCUAUAUUGCUUCAGCAGUACGCCGGCUUCUUAGAGGGACUAUUAGCUCAAGCUAAUAGAAGUUUAAGGCAAUAAUAAGUCUGUAAUGCCCUUAGAUGUUCUAGGCC